GUACACACCGCCCGUCGCUACUACCGAUUGGGAGGAGGGGUGAGGUUUUUGGAGGUAAGGUUGGAGGGGAGACUUUUUGACCGGACUGAAGAUGAACAAACUCUUUCUCCUAGAGGAAGUAAAAGUCGUAACAAGGUUUCCGUAGGUGAACCUGCAGAAGGAUCA
rnacentral:rRNA from 1 species